rnacentral:rRNA from 1 species
GACGUAGGGCGCGAGCGUUGUCCGGAAUUAUUGGGCGUAAAGAGCUCGUAGGCGGUUUGUCGCGUCUGCUGUGAAAUCCCGAGGCUCAACCUCGGGCCUGCAGUGGGUACGGGCAGACUGGAGUGCGGUAGGGGAGAAUGGAAUUCCUGGUGUAGCGGUGGAAUGCGCAGAUAUCAGGAGGAACACCGAUGGCGAAGGCAGUUCUCUGGGCCGUAACUGACGCUGAGGAGCGAAAGCGUGGGGAGCGAACAGG